rnacentral:rRNA from 1 species
GGGUUGUGAGGUUAAGCGACUAAGCGUACACGGUGGAUGCCCUGGCAGUCAGAGGCGAUGAAGGACGUGCUAAUCUGCGAAAAGCGUCGGUAAGGUGAUAUGAACCGUUAUAGCCGGCGAUGUCCGAAUGGGGAAACCCAGUGUGAUUCGUCACACUAUCGUUAACUGAAUACAUAGGUUAACGAGGCGAACCGGGGGAACUGAAACAUCUAAGUACCCCGAGGAAAAGAAAUCAACCGAGAUUCCCCCAGUAGCGGCGAGCGAACGGGGAGCAGCCCAGAGUUUGAAUCAGCUUGUGUGUUAGUGGAACGGUCUGGAAAGUCCGACGGUACAGGGUGAUAGUCCCGUACACCAAAAUGCACAGGCUGUGAACUCGAAGAGUAGGGCGGGACACGUGGUAUCCUGUCUGAAUAUGGGGGGACCAUCCUCCAAGGCUAAAUACUCCUGACUGACCGAUAGUGAACCAGUACCGUGAGGGAAAGGCGAAAAGAACCCCGGCGAGGGGAGUGAAAAGAACCUGAAACCGUGUACGUACAAGCAGUGGGAGCACCUUCGGGUGUGACUGCGUACCUUUUGUAUAAUGGGUCAGCGACUUAUAUUCUGUAGCAAGGUUAACCGUAUAGGGGAGCCGCAGGGAAACCGAGUCUUAACUGGGCGUUAAGUUGCAGGGUAUAGACCCGAAACCCGGUGAUCUAGCCAUGGGCAGGUUGAAGGUUGGGUAACACUAACUGGAGGACCGAACCGACUAAUGUUGAAAAAUUAGCGGAUGACUUGUGGCUGGGGGUGAAAGGCCAAUCAAACCGGGAGAUAGCUGGUUCUCCCCGAAAGCUAUUUAGGUAGCGCCUCGUGAAUUCAUCUUCGGGGGUAGAGCACUGUUUCGGCUAGGGGGUCAUCCCGACUUACCAACCCGAUGCAAACUACGAAUACCGAAGAAUGUUAUCACGGGAGACACACGGCGGGUGCUAACGUCCGUCGUGAAGAGGAAACAACCCAGACCGCCAGCUAAGGUCCCAAAGUCAUGGUUAAGUGGGAAACGAUGUGGGAAGGCACAGACAGCCGGGAUGUUGGCUUAGAAGCAGCCAUCAUUUAAAGAAAGCGUAAUAGCUCACUGGUCGAGUCGGCCUGCGCGGAAGAUGUAACGGGGCUAAACCAUGCACCGAAGCUGCGGCAGCGACACUAUGUGUUGUUGGGUAGGGAGCGUUCUGUAAGCCUGCGAAGGUGACCUGUGAGGGUUGCUGGAGGUAUCAGAAGUGCGAAUGCUGACAUAAGUAACGAUAAAGCGGGUGAAAAGCCCGCUCGCCGGAAGACCAAGGGUUCCUGUCCAACGUUAAUCGGGGCAGGGUGAGUCGACCCUAAGGCGAGGCCGAAAGGCGUAGUCGAUGGGAAACAGGUUAAUAUUCCUGUACUUGGUGUUACUGCGAAGGGGGGACGGAGAAGGCUAUGUUAGCCGGGCGACGGUUGUCCCGGUUUAAGCAUGUAGGCUGGUUAUCCAGGCAAAUCCGGAUAAUCAAGGCUGAGGUGUGAUGACGAGGCACUACGGUGCUGAAGUAACAAAUGCCCUGCUUCCAGGAAAAGCCUCUAAGCAUCAGGUAACAUUAAAUCGUACCCCAAACCGACACAGGUGGUCAGGUAGAGAAUACCAAGGCGCUUGAGAGAACUCGGGUGAAGGAACUAGGCAAAAUGGUGCCGUAACUUCGGGAGAAGGCACGCUGGUGUGUAGGUGAAGUCCCUGCGGAUGGAGCUGAGACCAGUCGAAGAUACCAGCUGGCUGCAACUGUUUAUUAAAAACACAGCACUGUGCAAACACGAAAGUGGACGUAUACGGUGUGACGCCUGCCCGGUGCCGGAAGGUUAAUUGAUGGGGUUAUCCGUAAGGAGAAGCUCUUGAUCGAAGCCCCGGUAAACGGCGGCCGUAACUAUAACGGUCCUAAGGUAGCGAAAUUCCUUGUCGGGUAAGUUCCGACCUGCACGAAUGGCGUAAUGAUGGCGGGCUGUCUCCACCCGAGACUCAGUGAAAUUGAACUCGCUGUGAAGAUGCAGUGUACCCGCGGCAAGACGGAAAGACCCCGUGAACCUUUACUAUAGCUUGACACUGAACAUUGAGCCUUGAUGUGUAGGAUAGGUGGGAGGCUUUGAAGCGUGGACGCCAGUCUGCGUGGAGCCAACCUUGAAAUACCACCCUUUAAUGUUUGAUGUUCUAACGUUGGCCCCUUACCGGGGUUGCGGACAGUGUCUGGUGGGUAGUUUGACUGGGGCGGUCUCCUCCCAAAGCGUAACGGAGGAGCACGAAGGUUAGCUAAUCUGGUCGGACAUCAGGAGGUUAGUGCAAUGGCAUAAGCUAGCUUGACUGCGAGCGUGACGGCGCGAGCAGGUGCGAAAGCAGGUCAUAGUGAUCCGGUGGUUCUGAAUGGAAGGGCCAUCGCUCAACGGAUAAAAGGUACUCCGGGGAUAACAGGCUGAUACCGCCCAAGAGUUCAUAUCGACGGCGGUGUUUGGCACCUCGAUGUCGGCUCAUCACAUCCUCGGGCUGAAGUAGGUCCCAAGGGUAUGGCUGUUCGCCAUUUAAAGUGGUACGCGAGCUGGGUUUAGAACGUCGUGAGACAGUUCGGUCCCUAUCUGCCGUGGGCGCUGGAGAAUUGAGGGGGGCUGCUCCUAGUACGAGAGGACCGGAGUGGACGCAUCACUGGUGUUCGGGUUGUCAUGCCAAUGGCACUGCCCGGUAGCUAAAUGCGGAAGAGAUAAGUGCUGAAAGCAUCUAAGCACGAAACUUGCCCCGAGAUGAGUUCUCCCUGAGACUUUAAGUCUCCUGAAGGAACGUUGAAGACGACGACGUUGAUAGGCCGGGUGUGUAAGCGCAGCGAUGCGUUGAGCUAACCGGUACUAAUGAACCGUGAGGCUUAACCUUACAACGCCGAAG